rfam:Anisakis simplex genome assembly, scaffold: ASIM_contig0000576
GAUCAGGUGGCCGAGUGGUUAAGGCGAUGGACUGCUAACCUAAUGGGGUUUCCCCGCGUGAGUUCGAAACUCAUCCUGAUCG